ACCUAACAAUAUAAGUCCAAAUUCUUCAUUCUUCAUUUUCAAAAUAUUUCCCAAAUUUCUGUUGUGUUUGUGUUUAACCUCAUGCAUCAAACAUAUGAAACACAAAAGGAAGGAAAACGAUAAAAAAUAUAAAUCUGACGAGUACUUGCAUUGGAAAUUCACUGAUGCACAUCGUUGCAUUCUCUAAGUUAACUUUUAAACAUUUCUUUUAUGCAAAGCGGAACCCGUCGAUAGAAUAUUUGUUUACUAGACAUUUUAAAUGAUUACGAAACUUUUUUUAUCCAAAUCUAUUUAUCUAUAAAGUUGAUGUUGUUAUUUAUUUAUCUAUUCAUGUAUAUUUUAUUCACCUCUAGGUUGUUACAUGUUAUGCACUUAUAAACUAUGUGUUUUGUGCCCUUGAGAUAGUGAGAUACUGCGCUUAAUAUUUGAAAGGAUGCAUGGAAAACUUAAGUGCUUUGUGUACAUUUGUUUAUCUUGAAUAAUUAUUAAGGCUGUACAUAGUAAACUCUAAAUAUAUUUCUUAUACGUAAAAUCUGUCAUAUUUCAUUAACCUGGAAAUUCCGAAAAAGUGAAAGAAGACGAUUUAUGGGAUAGAUGCACAAUUAAGAUCACACUGUGAUAUAUGAUAGUAUAUACUUAAACAUUGACAUUUCCGAGAAUAGAUCUACAUGUAUAUUGUAUCCAUGAUACAUAUAUGUAUAUUUAUUGACAAAGUUAUAUGUGUCUUUGUUUUUCGUCCACUUUCUCUUGGAAGAUUUGAUUGUGGUCUAAGAUAAAAAAAAAAAUAAAAUAAAAAAAAAAACACUAAAAAAAACAACAUUAUAUUUUAUAUAAAUAUGGUUCACAAAUUGUCAAAAAAAAAUCACGAGAACGAUAAGUAUUUCGGUACCACAUCUACUUUAACACAUGAUAUAGACUAAGAGCAGUAUCGAUACAAUUAUAGUUUACACUGACCCUCGACAAACUCAAUCCGGCCCCUAAUUUCCCUUAAUAGACGAUUAUAUAUAUUUAUCAUGUUUAUAUAUUAGUCACUGUGUGGAGGGCAAGUGUCUCAGUCUUGCAAAGUGACGAGCAUAGACAAACACACAAAGUCUAAUAGUUUAGAAGGUAGUCAUCGUUAUCUUUAAUUUUACUUCAUUUCCAAUAUGUUUGGGGCAAAAAGUGUGGGGACAGUUUACCCCUCCCCCCUUUUUUUCCACAGAUCUGCCUCCAUGCAGCUUAUAGACUUUUUUUGUCGGGAUUCUGUGUCUGUCAAUGUACAAUAUAGAUCAGAUAAAACCUCAGGAUAGGACAAGAAUAGAUAAGAUACGAUAAGAUAUUUGAUUGGUUUUAAAAUCUCCGGCAAUUAUCUAGGCAACAUACAUUGGCUAAGCAUAUAAAACAUAAAAACAUAUAUCUGAUCACAUUUAUCAAGAUGGUAUUAUUAUAGUUUAUAUUUUUGUUUAUCCCAGCCUCCAUUAUCAAAAGGAAAUAUAUAUGCAGUCUAGUUUGCAUGCACAUAUACCGUGCAAUGGAAUGAUGUGUUAUAAUCAACUUCUUAUGAAUGCGCCGUCGAAAGUAUUUUUUAAGCUUAACUCACGCAUGCGCUUCGUCGGAAAUUAAAUCAUGGCUUUUAGAUGACAACUAAUUAGUUCUGGUAAGCAUGUUUUGUUUUCUUUCAAUAUUAAUUGUAAGACAUGGUCAGUGUGUUUUAAAGCACAAUGUAGAGCGUUUUCUCCUUUGUUCCGUAAACCCGAUAUUCUCCUAAACCCCCCGAAAAUUCUUCCGAAAAAGGAAGAAAGAUUCACACGUGGAAUCAAAC
rnacentral:lncRNA from 1 species